CCUACGGGGGGCUGCAGUGGGGAAUAUUGCACAAUGGGGGAAACCCUGAUGCAGCGACGCCGCGUGAGUGAAGAAGUAAUUCGUUAUGUAAAGCUCUAUCAGCAGGGAAGAAAAUGACGGUACCUGAGUAAGAAGCCCCGGCUAACUACGUGCCAGCAGCCGCGGUAAUACGUAGGGGGCAAGCGUUAUCCGGAUUUACUGGGUGUAAAGGGGGCGUAGACGGCAGUGCAAGUCUGAAGUGAAAGGCGGGGGCUCAACCCCCGGACUGCUCUGGAAACUGUACGGCUGGAGUACAGGAGAGGUAAGUGGAAUUCCUAGUGUAGCGGUGAAAUGCGUAGAUAUUAGGAGGAACACCAGUGGCGAAGGCGGCUUACUGGACUGUAACUGACGUUGAGGCUCGAAAGCGUGGGGAGCAAACAGGAUUAGAUACCCCUGUAGUC
rnacentral:rRNA from 1 species